AACCAAUUCUCUAACAGGUUCCUAAAUCCACUGUCCAAAAAUUUUCAAUUCUCUCUUUGCCAUUUCUGAUUGGGUUUUUAGCCAAAAGGGUGUCAGUGGCUUUAGUGGGUCUAGGGUUUGAGAAUUUUCAGAGCUGAGAGAUGGAGACUGGUGGUAAGGUUAAGAAAGGUGCUGGUGGAAGGAAAGGUGGGGGUCCAAAGAAGAAGCCGGUGACCCGGUCCGUGAAGGCCGGUCUGCAGUUUCCGGUCGGUCGUAUUGGACGGUACUUGAAGAAGGGAAGGUAUGCUCAGAGAGUUGGGUCUGGAGCUCCGGUUUACUUGGCCGCGGUUCUUGAGUACCUCGCAGCUGAAGUGCUUGAAUUAGCUGGAAAUGCAGCUCGGGACAACAAGAAGAACAGAAUUAUCCCAAGGCAUCUGUUAUUGGCUGUUAGGAACGAUGAAGAGCUUGGGAAAUUGCUCGCCGGUGUGACCAUUGCUCAUGGUGGUGUGCUUCCAAACAUCAACCCAGUCCUCUUGCCCAAGAAAUCAGAGAAGGCUGCCGCCAAAGAGCCUAAAUCUCCAUCCAAGGCCACCAAUUGGAUGUAAUAUACAGGGCUUUCCUAUGAUACAAAUGAACCUGUUCUUAAGGAAGCUUUUGGGAAACAUGGUGAAAUAAUUGAAGUUAAAGUUAUAUGUGAUCAUGUGAGUGGGAAAUCGAAAGGGUAUGGAUUUGUGAAGUUUGCUUCUGGAAUCGAAGCCAGCACUGCUCUAAAAGAAAUGGAUGGUCAGUUGCUAGAUGGCAGACAAAUCCGCUUGGAAUUUGCACACAAGGGGUAAUGACAUUGAUCUCAGCAGGUACAGUGGAUUGGAGGGGGCAUGUUGUGGUAGGUGAUAUUAACCAGCAAGUCCAGAUCUGAGUUGCACACUGAUUUUUUUUUUUUUUUGGCCUUCGUGUGGCAAUUUUGUAAAAUUUGUGAUAUAAAUUUUCUUUGUCUUCAAUGAAAUCAAGAGAUUUGAUCAACUUUAUUAUGACAAA